rnacentral:rRNA from 1 species
AGUGAACGCUGGCGGCAGGCCUAACACAUGCAAGUCGAACGGCAGCACAAGAGAGCUUGCUCUCUGGGUGGCGAGUGGCGGACGGGUGAGGAAUGCAUCGGAAUCUGCCCAUUUGUGGGGGAUAGCCUCGGGAAACCGGGACUAAUACCGCAUACGACCUACGGGUGAAAGCAGGGGAUCUUCGGACCUUGCGCAGAUGGAUGAGCCGAUGCCGGAUUAGCUAGUUGGAGGGGUAAAGGCCCACCAAGGCGACGAUCCGUAGCUGGUCUGAGAGGAUGAUCAGCCACACUGGGACUGAGACACGGCCCAGACUCCUACGGGAGGCAGCAGUGGGGAAUAUUGGACAAUGGGCGCAAGCCUGAUCCAGCCAUGCCGCGUGUGUGAAGAAGGCCUUCGGGUUGUAAAGCACUUUUGUUGGGAAAGAAAAGCAGCCGGUUAAUACCCGGUUGUCAUGACGGUACCCAAAGAAUAAGCACCGGCUAACUUCGUG